rnacentral:rRNA from 1 species
UACGUAGGGUCCGAGCGUUGUCCGGAAUUACUGGGCGUAAAGAGCUCGUAGGUGGUUUGUCGCGUUGUUCGUGAAAACUCACAGCUUAACUGUGGGCGUGCGGGCGAUACGGGCAGACUUGAGUACUGCAGGGGAGACUGGAAUUCCUGGUGUAGCGGUGGAAUGCGCAGAUAUCAGGAGGAACACCGGUGGCGAAGGCGGGUCUCUGGG